rnacentral:rRNA from 1 species
CAGUCGCCGCGGUAAUACCGAGGGUGCAAGCGUUAAUCGGAAUUACUGGGCGUAAAGCGCGCGUAGGUGGUUUGUUAAGUUGGAUGUGAAAGCCCCGGGCUCAACCUGGGAACUGCAUCCAAAACUGGCAAGCUAGAGUACGGUAGAGGGUGGUGGAAUUUCCUGUGUAGCGGUGAAAUGCGUAGAUAUAGGAAGGAACACCAGUGGCGAAGGCGACCACCUGGACUGAUACUGACACUGAGGUGCGAAAGCGUGGGGAGCAAACAGGAUUAGAUACCCGCGUAGUCCCUGUCUCUUAUAC